rnacentral:misc_RNA from 1 species
UAAACUUGUAUAAAUUUGAUGUUAAACUCCAAUGUUGUUGAAGAACAUGAAUGUGAAAUGAACUCCAGUUAAAUAACACAUUUAUGUAUUACAUUUUUUUAUAAAUUAUUUUCACGAAUUUCUUCGAUUGAUUUUGGUAAAAAUACCCAAAAUCAAUUGAAGCUAUGGUACAGGUGCGGCACAUGAGGCCGCACAACUUACACUAACUAUAAGUUACACACAUUAUCUGCGACUUCUACGGCUAGAAGAAGUAGACUUUCCCAGAGGAGGGAAAUCAUCUUCAUUGGAAAAAACCUUAUUUUCACUAUUCGGAAGCUUGUCAAUUUUACCAUGGUAACGAUUUCUUGAGCUGUCCAAUGAUGGAGAAGGAAUAAGACGCUCGAUUCCUACAAGCUCUGGAUCAGGAGUAUAACGAUAUGGCAAUUUGCUGACAUCCAUCUUACGGAAGGUAAUGGAAAUUCUUUUAGCUGGAACACUA